AGUCGAGGGGUAUAGUAGCAAUACUAGAGACCGGCGCACGGGUGCGUAACGCGUAUGCAAUCUACCUUUUGCAGGGGAAUAGCCCAGAGAAAUUUGGAUUAAUGCCCCAUAGUAUAGUGACUCGGCAUCGAGAUACUAUUAAAGUUACAACGGCAAAAGAUGAGCAUGCGUCCCAUUAGCUAGUUGGUAAGGUAACGGCUUACCAAGGCGACGAUGGGUAGGGGUCCUGAGAGGGAGAUCCCCCACACUGGUACUGAGACACGGACCAGACUCCUACGGGAGGCAGCAGUGAGGAAUAUUGGACAAUGGGCGCAAGCCUGAUCCAGCCAUGCCGCGUGCAGGAUGAAGCAUCUAUGGUGUGUAAACUGCUUUUGUACGAGAAGAAACACUGCUUCGUGAAGCAGCUUGACGGUAUCGUAAGAAUAAGGAUCGGCUAACUCCGUGCCAGCAGCCGCGGUAAUACGGAGGAUCCAAGCGUUAUCCGGAAUCAUUGGGUUUAAAGGGUCCGUAGGCGGGCCAGUAAGUCAGUGGUGAAAUCUCCCGGCUCAACCGGGAAAUGGCCAUUGAUACUGCUGGUCUUGAAUUAUUAGGAAGUAACUAGAAUAUGUAGUGUAGCGGUGAAAUGCUUAGAGAUUACAUGGAAUACCAAUUGCGAAGGCAGGUUACUACUAAUGGAUUGACGCUGAUGGACGAAAGCGUGGGUAGCGAACAGGAUUAGAUACCCUGGUAGUCCACGCCGUAAACGAUGGAUACUAGCUGUUGGGGGCAACUUCAGUGGCUAAGCGAAAGUGAUAAGUAUCCCACCUGGGGAGUACGUUCGCAAGAAUGAAACUCAAAGGAAUUGACGGGGCCCGCACAAGCGG
rnacentral:rRNA from 1 species